CAGUAGCCGCGGUAAUACGUAGGUCCCGAGCGUUGUCCGGAUUUAUUGGGCGUAAAGCGAGCGCAGGCGGUUAGAUAAGUCUGAAGUUAAAGGCUGUGGCUUAACCAUAGUACGCUUUGGAAACUGUUUAACAUGAGUGCAAGAGGGGAGAGUGGAAUUCCAUGUGUAGCGGUGAAAUGCGUAGAUAUAUGGAGGAACGCCGGUGGCGAAAGCGGCUCUCUGGCUUGUAACUGACGCUGAGGCUCGAAAGCGUGGGGAGCAAACAGGAUUAGAUACCCCCGUAGUCCCUGUCUCUUAUACA
rnacentral:rRNA from 1 species